AAUGCCGCGUGAGUGAAGAAGGCCUUCGGGUUGUAAAGCUCUUUUGUCAGGGAAGAAACGGUGUGGGCUAAUAUCUCAUGCUAAUGACGGUACCUGAAGAAUAAGCACCGGCUAACUACGUGCCAGCAGCCGCGGUAAUACGUAGGGUGCAAGCGUUAAUCGGAAUUACUGGGCGUAAAGCGUGCGCAGGCGGUUUUGUAAGACUGUCGUGAAAUCCCCGGGCUCAACCUGGGAAUGGCGAUGGUGACUGCAAGGCUAGAGUUUGGCAGAGGGGGGUAGAAUUCCACGUGUAGCAGUGAAAUGCGUAGAUAUGUGGAGGAACACCGAUGGCGAAGGCAGCCCCCUGGGUCAAAACUGACGCUCAUGCACGAAAGCGUGGGGAGCAAACAGGAUUAGAUACCCUGGUAGUCCACGCCCUAAACGAUGUCUACUAGUUGUCGGGUUUUAAUUAACUUGGUAACGCAGCUAACGCGUGAAGUAGACCGCCUGGGGAGUACGGUCGCAAGAUUAAAACUCAAAGGAAUUGACGGGGACCCGCACAAGCGGUGGAUGAUGUGGAUUAAUUCGAUGCAACGCGAAAAACCUUACCUACCCUUGACAUGGAUGGAAUCCCGGAGAGA
rnacentral:rRNA from 1 species